rnacentral:rRNA from 1 species
UACGUAGGGUGCAAGCGUUGUCCGGAAUUAUUGGGCGUAAAGAGCUCGUAGGCGGUCUGUCGCGUCGGCUGUGAAAACCCGGGGCUCAACCCCGGGCCUGCAGUCGAUACGGGCAGACUAGAGUGCGGUAGGGGAGACUGGAAUUCCUGGUGUAGCGGUGAAAUGCGCAGAUAUCUGGAAGAACACCAAAGGCGAAGGCAGUGUCCUGGGUGGUCGCUGACGCUGAGAGGCGAAAGCCAGGGGAGCGAACGGG